UACUCUGGUCUCUGUGGAACAGGAACAGCCAGACAGUAUGUUAACAUAACCUUAGGAAGUCCAGGGUUACAGCAGAGUGAAUCCAAUGCUUGUUCUACAGAGUUACCUGCUCUCUUUCCCGUACUUGGGUCAAUCCCAACACUAUUACUC